GCCGACUUUAUGGCGCAGUGGUAGCGUUUUAGGCUGGUAAUAUAAUGGCCGCAUAUUCGAUCCCGGCCUGCGGUU